rnacentral:rRNA from 1 species
UGCAAGUCGAGCGCGCCUUCGGGCGAGCGGCGGACGGGUUAGUAACGCGUGGGAACGUGCCCAGAUCUACGGAAUAGCCACUGGAAACGGUGAGUAAUACCGUAUACGCCCUUCGGGGGAAAGAUUUAUCGGAUUUGGAUCGGCCCGCGUUAGAUUAGGUAGUUGGUGGGGUAACGGCCUACCAAGCCUACGAUCUAUAGCUGGUUUUAGAGGAUGAUCAGCAACACUGGGACUGAGACACGGCCCAGACUCCUACGGGAGGCAGCAGUGGGGAAUCUUGGACAAUGGGGGCAACCCUGAUCCAGCCAUGCCGCGUGAGUGAAGAAGGCCCUAGGGUCGUAAAACUCUUUCGCCUGUGAUGAUAAUGACAGUAGCAGGUAAAGAAACCCCGGCUAACUCCGUGCCAGCAGCCGCGGUAAUACGGAGGGGGUUAGCGUUGUUCGGAAUUACUGGGCGUAAAGCGCACGUAGGCGGAUUAGAAAGUUAGAGGUGAAAUCCCGGGGCUCAACCCCGGAACUGCCCUUAAAACUACUAGUCUAGAGUUCGAGAGAGGUGAGUGGAAUUCCGAGUGUAGAGGUGAAAUUCGUAGAUAUUCGGAGGAACACCAGUGGCGAAGGCGGCUCACUGGCUCGAUACUGACGCUGAGGUGCGAAAGUGUGGGGAGCAAACAGGAUUAGAUACCCUGGUAGUCCACACCGUAAACGAUGAAUGCCCAGUCGUCGGGUAGUAUACUAUU